rnacentral:misc_RNA from 1 species
AAUUAUGAAAUCUAACUAAAUGGAUGUACAGUGCAAGGAUUAAACAGUACGUAUUGUUAAUUAGAAUUCCUACUAGUGUAGUUAUUCAUAGAUCAAUUUGAUUUGCUGUUAGAGAAUUGUAUUCCUCAGAGAAUAUUUAAAACAGUUCUAUAUAUUUUUAGAUAGUAAGAAGUAAGAUAAGUUAUGAAUGAUUCGAUAGAUCAUAUUUUACUAAAAGUAGUUCCAAUCCAUUUUUUUUUGUUACAGAAUAUACGAAGAUAUUAGUGCUUUCGAAUAUUUCACUAUAUAACAUCUCAAUAAACAUUUAAGUAGUUCGAUUUUGGUGAUUAUUGUAUACUAUAUAGAAAAAGAAAAUAUAUAGGAGUAAUCGAUCGAUUCUCUAGCCAAUAGGCGUCAAGAUUUCUCUUUUAGGCCUGCAGCAUAUUUACAAGCUUAUCGAGGAAUGUUUCAAUGCGUUGUUGCUUUGCUCAUCUCUCUUCUACUUCUUAUUAGUUCUGAAGAUUGUCCCCAUAGAAAUUAUUACGAUUCAUUAUGGAGCUUCUACAAUAGAUCAACGCAAAUCAUUGUGGUUGGACGAACUUACAGCGAGCUCAAACGGACCCCUAACACGCCGGUGUCCCGAAUUUUCAUCAAGACCAUUGGAAAUAAUGAACUUAAUAUAGGUCAGAAAACUACUACUUGGAUUAAUGUUGAAAUCAAUUCUAAUGAAUUGUGUAAAAAUCGAUUACAUAAUAACACCAAAUAUAUAAAAAAGAACAAAACUUAUAUAUGGUAUCUAAAAGCAAGCAAACGACCGCAAGAAAAUAUAGCCUUUCAUGAGGCGUCAGCCUUUCCUGAUUCGAUACGAAACCGUAAAGUAGUCAAUGCUCUAAAAAAAGCCACGUGUUCCAGAUCAAAAUGCGAUGCAAGGCUACCAAACGAUCCUACGAUCACAGCAUCCUUCAAACGAAACAAUCUGCAUAUCAACUGCAAAAUCGACGGCGGCUAUCCCAAAGCGGCAGCCUUGUUUAUGAAAGAUGGAAGACCCUUAAGAAAGGGUCAUGUUCGUUAUAAGAGGAAUGGUAUUACUCUGCGCAUUCAAGAUCGAAAAGAGGAUGACAGCGGGAUAUAUACAUGUAAAGUGUUCAAUGUAGCAGGAUCUCGUACGAAAACAGUUACAGUUCCAAGAAACAAAAAACCAGUCGUAAAACCUACUGACAGCAGUACUGCUCCCACAACUGAAAUGGUAUCCAUUUCAAGUAUCUCGCCUUCUGGUCUGUCACCAAACGCCAGGGUGGAACACUGCAAAAUACAGUCUUUCUGUCUAAAUGGAGGUGUCUGCUAUAACAUACCUUCUAUACAUAUGCGAUUUUGCAGAUGUAAGGAGGACUAUGUAGGAUAUAGAUGUCAAUUUCCAUUCCCUGAAGGAAUGAUUGGCAAGAUAGCAGAACAACAAAAAUUAGAGACAGAUAGAGUGAUCACCCGUGUUAUUUUGGCUGGUAUAGUUCUUCUUCUCAUUAUGGUCAUCCUACUCGCUUUUUUUAUGAGAUGCUUCCAUAAAUCGCAAAGAAAACGCUUCAUGAGGUAUAAACAAGAAUUAAAUGCAAAGGAACCUCUUGUUCAGAAUCACAACUCGCUAAACAUACAAUACCAAACUCCUACAAAUGUACACAGUAUAGGGGUCCAAACAGAUCCAUCCUUGGACCCUAGUCUAUUAGCAAGACAAGGAAAUAAAUAUGAUGAAUUUAAUGAAGAUUGUAUAGCAGAAUCUCAAGAUUCGACGGAUAAACGUCAAGGAAUUUUCUUUUCACCCUAG